rnacentral:rRNA from 1 species
GAUGAACGCUAGCUACAGGCUUAACACAUGCACGUCGAGGGAGGGGCGCAAGGGUGAGUAACACGUAUACCACCUGCCCGUUACUCGGGGAUAGCGGUUCGAAAGAAAGAUUAAUACCCGAUAUAAAGGAUGGGGAGGCGUUCCAUUAGGUUGUUGGUGAGGUAACGGCCCACAAAGCCUUCGAUGGCUAGGGGUUCUGAGAGGAAGGGCCCCCACAUUGGAACUGAGACACGGUCCACACUCCUACGCGCGGCAGCAGUGAGGAAUAGUGGUCAAUGGGCGUUAGCCUGAUCCAGCCAAGUAGUGUGAAGGAUGAAUGCUUAUGGGUCGUAAACUUCUUUUAUAUAAGAAUAUGUAUUAUAUGAAUAAGGAUCGGCUAACUCCGUGCCAGCAGCCGCGGUAAUAC